rnacentral:rRNA from 1 species
UACGGAGGGUGCGAGCGUUGUCCGGAUUCACUGGGCGUAAAGGGCGCGUAGGCGGAUUGAUCAGUCGGACGUGAAAGAUUGGGGCUCAGCCCUGAUAAGCGCCCGGGACGGUUGAUCUUGAGCGUGGUAGAGGGAAACGGAAUGCCGGGUGUAGUGGUGAAAUGCGUAGAGAUCCGGCGGAACACCGGUGGCGAAGGCGGUUUCCUGGGCCAAGGCUGACGCUGAGGCGCGAGAGCGUGGGGAGCGAACCGG